rnacentral:rRNA from 1 species
GAUGAACGCUGGCGGCGUGCCUAAUACAUGCAAGUCGAGCGAACGGACGAGAAGCUUGCUCUUCUGAUGUUAGCGGCGGACGGGUGAGUAACACGUGGAUAACCUACCUAUAAGACUGGGAUAACUUCGGGAAACCGGAGCUAAUACCGGAUGAUAUUUUGAACCGCAUGGUUCAAAAGUGAAAGACGGUCUUGCUGUCACUUAUAGAUGGAUCCGCGCUGCAUUAGCUAGUUGGUAAGGUAACGGCUUACCAAGGCAACGAUGCAUAGCCGACCUGAGAGGGUGAUCGGCCACACUGGAACUGAGACACGGUCCAGACUCCUACGGGAGGCAGCAGUAGGGAAUCUUCCGCAAUGGGCGAAAGCCUGACGGAGCAACGCCGCGUGAGUGAAGAAGGUCUUCGGAUCGUAAAGCUCUUUUAUUAGGGAAGAACAGAUGUGUAAGUAACUGUGCACAUCUUGACGGUACCUAAUCAGAAAGCCACGGCUAACUACGUG